rnacentral:rRNA from 1 species
GGGAACUGAAACAUCUAAGUACCCCGAGGAAAAGAAAUCAACCGAGAUUCCCCCAGUAGCGGCGAGCGAACGGGGAGCAGCCCAGAGCCUGAAUCAGUGUGUGUGUUAGUGGAAGCGUCUGGAAAGGCGUGCGAUACAGGGUGACAGCCCCGUACACAAAAAUGCACAUACUGUGAGCUCGAUGAGUAGGGCGGGACACGUGGUAUCCUGUCUGAAUAUGGGGGGACCAUCCUCCAAGGCUAAAUACUCCUGACUGACCGAUAGUGAACCAGUACCGUGAGGGAAAGGCGAAAAGAACCCCGGCGAGGGGAGUGAAAAAGAACCUGAAACCGUGUACGUACAAGCAGUGGGAGCACGCUUAGGCGUGUGACUGCGUACCUUUUGUAUAAUGGGUCAGCGACUUAUAUUCUGUAGCAAGGUUAACCGAAUAGGGGAGCCGAAGGGAAACCGAGUCUUAACUGGGCGUUAAGUUGCAGGGUAUAGACCCGAAACCCGGUGAUCUAGCCAUGGGCAGGUUGAAGGUUGGGUAACACUAACUGGAGGACCGAACCGACUAAUGUUGAAAAAUUAGCGGAUGACUUGUGGCUGGGGGUGAAAGGCCAAUCAAACCGGGAGAUAGCUGGUUCUCCCCGAAAGCUAUUUAGGUAGCGCCUCGUGAAUUCAUCUCCGGGGGUAGAGCACUGUUUCGGCAAGGGGGUCAUCCCGACUUACCAACCCGAUGCAAACUGCGAAUACCGGAGAAUGUUAUCACGGGAGACACACGGCGGGUGCUAACGUCCGUCGUGAAGAGGGAAACAACCCAGACCGCCAGCUAAGGUCCCAAAGUCAUGGUUAAGUGGGAAACGAUGUGGGAAGGCCCAGACAGCCAGGAUGUUGGCUUAGAAGCAGCCAUCAUUUAAAGAAAGCGUAAUAGCUCACUGGUCGAGUCGGCCUGCGCGGAAGAUGUAACGGGGCUAAACCAUGCACCGAAGCUGCGGCAGCGACGCUUAUGCGUUGUUGGGUAGGGGAGCGUUCUGUAAGCCUGUGAAGGUGUACUGUGAGGUAUGCUGGAGGUAUCAGAAGUGCGAAUGCUGACAUAAGUAACGAUAAAGCGGGUGAAAAGCCCGCUCGCCGGAAGACCAAGGGUUCCUGUCCAACGUUAAUCGGGGCAGGGUGAGUCGACCCCUAAGGCGAGGCCGAAAGGCGUAGUCGAUGGGAAACAGGUUAAUAUUCCUGUACUUGGUGUUACUGCGAAGGGGGGACGGAGAAGGCUAUGUUGGCCGGGCGACGGUUGUCCCGGUUUAAGCGUGUAGGCUGGUUUUCCAGGCAAAUCCGGAAAAUCAAGGCCGAGGCGUGAUGACGAGGCACUACGGUGCUGAAGCAACAAAUGCCCUGCUUCCAGGAAAAGCCUCUAAGCAUCAGGUAACAUCAAAUCGUACCCCAAACCGACACAGGUGGUCAGGUAGAGAAUACCAAGGCGCUUGAGAGAACUCGGGUGAAGGAACUAGGCAAAAUGGUGCCGUAACUUCGGGAGAAGGCACGCUGAUACGUAGGUGAAGCGACUUGCUCGUGGAGCUGAAAUCAGUCGAAGAUACCAGCUGGCUGCAACUGUUUAUUAAAAACACAGCACUGUGCAAACACGAAAGUGGACGUAUACGGUGUGACGCCUGCCCGGUGCCGGAAGGUUAAUUGAUGGGGUUAGCGCAAGCGAAGCUCUUGAUCGAAGCCCCGGUAAACGGCGGCCGUAACUAUAACGGUCCUAAGGUAGCGAAAUUCCUUGUCGGGUAAGUUCCGACCUGCACGAAUGGCGUAAUGAUGGCCAGGCUGUCUCCACCCGAGACUCAGUGAAAUUGAACUCGCUGUGAAGAUGCAGUGUACCCGCGGCAAGACGGAAAGACCCCGUGAACCUUUACUAUAGCUUGACACUGAACAUUGAGCCUUGAUGUGUAGGAUAGGUGGGAGGCUUUGAAGUGUGGACGCCAGUCUGCAUGGAGCCGACCUUGAAAUACCACCCUUUAAUGUUUGAUGUUCUAACGUGGACCCGUGAUCCGGGUUGCGGACAGUGUCUGGUGGGUAGUUUGACUGGGGCGGUCUCCUCCUAAAGAGUAACGGAGGAGCACGAAGGUUGGCUAAUCCUGGUCGGACAUCAGGAGGUUAGUGCAAUGGCAUAAGCCAGCUUGACUGCGAGCGUGACGGCGCGAGCAGGUGCGAAAGCAGGUCAUAGUGAUCCGGUGGUUCUGAAUGGAAGGGCCAUCGCUCAACGGAUAAAAGGUACUCCGGGGAUAACAGGCUGAUACCGCCCAAGAGUUCAUAUCGACGGCGGUGUUUGGCACCUCGAUGUCGGCUCAUCACAUCCUGGGGCUGAAGUAGGUCCCAAGGGUAUGGCUGUUCGCCAUUUAAAGUGGUACGCGAGCUGGGUUUAGAACGUCGUGAGACAGUUCGGUCCCUAUCUGCCGUGGGCGCUGGAGAACUGAGGGGGGCUGCUCCUAGUACGAGAGGACCGGAGUGGACGCAUCACUGGUGUUCGGGUUGUCAUGCCAAUGGCACUGCCCGGUAGCUAAAUGCGGAAGAGAUAAGUGCUGAAAGCAUCUAAGCACGAAACUUGCCCCGAGAUGAGUUCUCCCUGACCCUUUAAGGGUCCUGAAGGAACGUUGAAGACGACGACGUUGAUAGGCCGGGUGUGUAAGCGCAGCGAUGCGUUGAGCUAACCGGUACUAAUGAACCGUGAGGCUUAACCUUACAACGCCGAAG